rnacentral:lncRNA from 1 species
AUGACAGCACUACUAGGACACCACGCUUUUGAAAAUUUGUCCCAAAGAGUAAAUAGAGCCCAUGACUGGCAGGAGGCUGAGCACCAAUUUGGAGAUAACUUUUCCUUUUAAACUCAAGAAAGUGCUAUAGGAGGCAUUCACUAUACACUUUAGAUUUUUCCAUACGGAUCACCAAUUCCUAAAAUCUAUUGGACAAUAGGCCAUUGUUUCCUUCUAUCUGAAACAUCAGCUCCGUUAUAUCAAGAUUCCAGAUGAGAAAGUGAGGCAGAAAGAGAUUAAGUAGUGGCCAAGAUGCUGCAAGAAAUACACACCAGGGCCUAGAGAAAGACACAGACAGGCUGGCUCUUCUCCCAGCCGCCAAUGGCCAAUCAGGCACUGCAGCUGAAGAACUUCAUGCAAAUGUGUCAUCACGGUGCAACUUCAUGGUAACAAACAUUUCCAUUUGUUGGGAGUCAAGGUUCCUGAGGAAAAGAAG